rnacentral:rRNA from 1 species
GACGAACGCUGGCGGCGUGCUUAACACAUGCAAGUCGAACGCUGAAGCCCUUCGGGGUGGAUGAGUGGCGAACGGGUGAGUAACACGUGGGUAAUCUGCCCUGCACUCUGGGAUAAGCCUUGGAAACGGGGUCUAAUACCGGAUAGGACACGUCGCCGCAUGGUGUGUGUGUGGAAAGUUCCGGCGGUGCAGGUUGAGCCCGCGGCCUAUCAGCUUGUUGGUGGGGUGAUGGCCUACCAAGGCGACGACGGGUAGCCGGCCUGAGAGGGUGACCGGCCACACUGGGACUGAGACACGGCCCAGACUCCUACGGGAGGCAGCAGUGGGGAAUAUUGCACAAUGGGCGCAAGCCUGAUGCAGCGACGCCGCGUGAGGGAUGACGGCCUUCGGGUUGUAAACCUCUUUCAGUAGGGACGAGGCGCAAGUGACGGUACCUACAGAAGAAGGACCGGCCAACUACGUGCCAGCCGCCGCAGUAACAC